rnacentral:rRNA from 1 species
GCUCAGAUUGAACGCUGGCGGCAGGCCUAACACAUGCAAGUCGAACGGUAACAGGAAGAAGCUUGCUUCUUUGCUGACGAGUGGUGGACGGGUGAGUAAUGUCUGGGAAACUGCCUGAUGGAGGGGGAUAACUACUGGAAACGGUAGCUAAUACCGCAUAACGUCGCAAGACCAAAGAGGGGGACCUUCGGGCCUCUUGCCAUCGGAUAUGCCCAGAUGGGAUUAGCUAGUAGGUGGGGUAACGGCUCACCUAGGCGACGAUCCCUAGCUGGUCUGAGAGGAUGACCAGCCACACUGGAACUGAGACACGGUCCAGACUCCUACGGGAGGCAGCAGUGGGGAAUAUUGCACAAUGGGCGCAAGCCUGAUGCAGCCAUGCCGCGUGUAUGAAGAAGGCCUUCGGGUUGUAAAGUACUUUCAGCGGGGAGGAAGGGAGUAAAGUUAAUACCUUUGCUCAUUGACGUUACCCGCAGAAGAAGCACCGGCUAACUCCGUGCCAGCAGCCGCGGUAAUACGGAGGGUGCAAGCGUUAAUCGGAAUUACUGGGCGUAAAGCGCACGCAGGCGGUUUGUUAAGUCAGAUGUGAAAUCCCCGGGCUCAACCUGGGAACUGCAUCUGAUACUGGCAAGCUUGAGUCUCGUAGAGGGGGGUAGAAUUCCAGGUGUAGCGGUGAAAUGCGUAGAGAUCUGGAGGAAUACCGGUGGCGAAGGCGGCCCCCUGGACGAAGACUGACGCUCAGGUGCGAAAGCGUGGGGAGCAAACAGGAUUAGAUACCCUGGUAGUCCACGCCGUAAACGAUGUCGACUUGGAGGUUGUGCCCUUGAGGCGUGGCUUCCGGAGCUAACGCGUUAAGUCGACCGCCUGGGGAGUACGGCCGCAAGGUUAAAACUCAAAUGAAUUGACGGGGGCCCGCACAAGCGGUGGAGCAUGUGGUUUAAUUCGAUGCAACGCGAAGAACCUUACCUGGUCUUGACAUCCACGGAAGUUUUCAGAGAUGAGAAUGUGCCUUCGGGAACCGUGAGACAGGUGCUGCAUGGCUGUCGUCAGCUCGUGUUGUGAAAUGUUGGGUUAAGUCCCGCAACGAGCGCAACCCUUAUCCUUUGUUGCCAGCGGUCCGGCCGGGAACUCAAAGGAGACUGCCAGUGAUAAACUGGAGGAAGGUGGGGAUGACGUCAAGUCAUCAUGGCCCUUACGACCAGGGCUACACACGUGCUACAAUGGCGCAUACAAAGAGAAGCGACCUCGCGAGAGCAAGCGGACCUCAUAAAGUGCGUCGUAGUCCGGAUUGGAGUCUGCAACUCGACUCCAUGAAGUCGGAAUCGCUAGUAAUCGUGGAUCAGAAUGCCACGGUGAAUACGUUCCCGGGCCUUGUACACACCGCCCGUCACACCAUGGGAGUGGGUUGCAAAAGAAGUAGGUAGCUUAACCUUCG